ACCCGCUGAACUUAAGCAUAUCAAUAAGCGGAGGAAAAGAAACCAACAGGGAUUGCCCUAGUAACGGCGAGUGAAGCGGCAUCAGCUCAAAUUUGAAAUCUGGCUCUUUUAGGGUCCGAGUUGUAAUUUGCAGAGGGCGCUUUGGCAUAGGCAGCGAUUCAAGUUCCUUGGAACAGGACGUCACAGAGGGUGAGAAUCCCGUACGCGGUCGCUAGCUCUUGCCGUGUAAAGCCCCUUCGACGAGUCGAGUUGUUUGGGAAUGCAGCUCUAAAUGGGAGGUAAAUUUCUUCUAAAGCUAAAUAUUGGCCAGAGACCGAUAGCGCACAAGUAGAGUGAUCGAAAGAUGAAAAGUACUUUGGAAAGAGAGUCAAAAAGCACGUGAAAUUGUUGAAAGGGAAGCGCUUGCAGCCAGACUUGCCUGUAGUUGCUCAUCCGGGCUCUUGCCCGGUGCACUCUUCUGUAGGCAGGCCAGCAUCAGUUUGGGCGGUUGGAUAAAGGUCUCUGUCAUGUACCUCUCUUCGGGGAGGCCUUAUAGGGGAGGCGACAUACAACCAGCCUGGACUGAGGUCCGCGCAUUCGUGCUAGGAUGCUGGCGUAAUGGCUGU
rnacentral:rRNA from 1 species